rnacentral:rRNA from 1 species
GACGGACGCUGGCGGCGUGCUUAACACAUGCAAGUCGAGCGAUGAAUUUUCUUCGGAAAUGGAUUAGCGGCGAACGGGUGAGGAACACGUGAAGAAUCUGCCCUCCACUUUGGGAUAACACAGGGAAACCUGUGCUAAUACCGAAUAUUGAAACAUAAGUGGCAUCACUGAGUUUUGAAAGAAUUUCGGUGGAGGAUGACUUCGCGGCCUAUCAGCUAGUUGGUGAGGUAAUGGCUCACCAAGGCAACGACGGGUAGCCGGCCUGAGAGGGCGACCGGCCACACUGGGACUGGGACACGGCCCAGACUCCUACGGGAGGCAGCAGUGGGGAAUAUUGGGCAAUGGAGGAAACUCUGACCCAGCGACGCCGCGUGCGGGAUGAAGGCCUUCGGGUUGUAAACCGCUUUCAGUAGGGAAGAAGCGAAAGUGACGGUACCUACAAAAGAAGCACCGGCUAACUAUGUGCCAGCCGCCGCCGUAA